rnacentral:rRNA from 1 species
UUGACCUCGGAUCAGGUAGGGAUACCCGCUGAACUUAAGCAUAUCAAUAAGCGGAGGAAAAGAAACCAACAGGGAUUGCCUCAGUAACGGCGAGUGAAGCGGCAAGAGCUCAAAUUUGAAAUCUGGCGCC